ensembl:lncRNA
GGAGCCUCCGGCCGCGGCGCUUGCGGGGGAGUCUCCAGCCGCGGAGGUGGCUGCGGCGUCCGUGAGGCCGUUUCCGGUUCCGGUGCCGCGGGCCGUUGCGCUGCUGUGCCUGACCCACACGGGAGACGCACAGCGACAGCACCAACGAGGCCGACUGGAGGAGGGAGUGGGAAGGGGAAGUCCUGCUGAGCCACAACACCAACCUCAGUGGAGGAGUGGGCUUCCUCUUCUCCAGGUCUUUUAAGCCAAUCUCCCUGGAGGUCAAACACAUCAUCGAGGGGAGGUUGUUUUUAGUCAAGGCACGGUUCGACCUUUUUACUGUUUUUAUCAAUGUGUAUGCUCCAACAAUCGGUACAGAGAGGAAGCUUUUUUUAACAAAAGUUAAUGAUCUUUUAGAUGGCUGUGCCCCGGAGGAUUUUUUAUUCUUGGGGGGGGAUUUUAACUGCACAGAAGAUGCGACCAUAGACCGCAACCACGCAGAGCCACAUCCAGCUUCCCAGCACGCUCUGAGGCAGCUGGUCCAGUCUCAUGGCCUGGUGGAUGUGUGGAGAAGGAUGCAUGCAGACUGCCGACAGUACACGUGGUCCCACCUCAGAGAAGAGCAAGGCUGGACAUCAGCAGCAGUGGUACCCCAGGCCUGAUGGGGGCGCUGCUGAAAGCACGAGUCCUGUGCCUGCAGCAGCUGGUGGACGCAGUGGGGCCGACGCUGAGUGACGCC